AAUGAAUACAGCAUCCACUUUUAAAAGCAAAUAAAUUGGUCCUAAAACUCUGCUCUCCUAAAGCUGGAUGCGGCAGCAAUCCUGUGUGCACCGUCAACUGCUUCCAAGAGAAUGCACCGUUUUGUCAAGCAGCUAUGUGCUUCCAAGACAUGAUGCAGAUUCCAAUUCAGCGCCUCUUAAAGUAAGCAGCUUGCAGCGCAUGUUCUUC
rnacentral:lncRNA from 1 species